rnacentral:rRNA from 1 species
GAAUAUUGGACAAUGGGGGAAACCCUGAUCUAGCCAUGCCGCGUGAGUGACGAAGGCCUUAGGGUCGUAAAGCUCUUUCGCCAGGGAUGAUAAUGACAUUACCUGGUAAAGAAACCCCGGCUAACUCCGUGCCAGCAGCCGCGGUAAGACGGAGGGGGUUAUCGUUGUUCGGAAUUACUGGGCGUAAAGCGCACGUAGGCGGACUGUUAAGUCGGGGGUGAAAUCCCGGGGCUCAACCCCGGAACGGCCUUCGAUACUGGCAGUCUAGAGUACGAGAGAGGUGAGUGGAAUUCCGAGUGUAGAGGUGAAAUUCGUAGAUAUUCGGAGGAACACCAGUGGCGAAGGCGGCUCACUGGCUCGAUACUGACGCUGAGGUGCGAAAGUGUGGGGAGCAAACAGG